UGAGGAAUAUUGGUCAAUGGGGGCAACCCUGAACCAGCCAAGUCGCGUGAAGGAUGAAGGUCUUAUGGAUUGUAAACUUCUUUUACACGGGAAUAAAGUGGGGGACGUGUCCCCCUUUGCAUGUACCGUGUGAAUAAGGAUCGGCUAACUCCGUGCCAGCAGCCGCGGUAAUACGGAGGAUCCGAGCGUUAUCCGGAUUUAUUGGGUUUAAAGGGUGCGCAGGCGGGAUGUUAAGCCGGCGGUGAAAUUUUGCAGCUCAACUGUAAAAGUGCCUUCGAUACUGGCCUCCUUGAGUGUGGAUGAAGUAGGCGGAAUUUGUGGUGCAGCGGUGAAAUGCUUAGAUAUCACGAGGAACUCCGAUUGCGCAGGCAGCUUACUAAGCCACAACUGACGCUCAUGCACGAAGGCGUGGGGAUCAAACA
rnacentral:rRNA from 1 species